AUUGAACGCUGGCGGCAGGCCUAACACAUGCAAGUCGAGCGAGCGGCGGACGGGUGAGUAAUGUAUGGGGACUGCCCGAUGGAGGGGGAUAACUACUGGAAACGGUAGCUCAUACCGCAUACUAUCGGCACACCCAUAUGGGCGUAGCUAGUAGGUGGGGUAAUGGCUCACCUAGGCGACGAUACCUAGCUGGUCUGAGAGGAUGACCAGCCACACUGGGACGGAGACACGGCCCGGACUCCUACGGAGGAGGGCUUGGGAAAUAUUGCACACUGGGCGGAAGCCUGAUGCAGCCAUGCCGCGUGUAUGAAGAAGGCAAUAGGGUUGUAAAGUACUUUCAGCCGGGAGGCGUUACCGACAGAAGAAGCACCGGCUAACUCCGUGCCAGCAGCCGCGGUAAUUC
rnacentral:rRNA from 1 species